CAGGACGAACGCUGGCGGCGUGCCUAAUACAUGCAAGUAGAACGCUGAAGGAGGAGCUUGCUUCUCUGGAUGAGUUGCGAACGGGUGAGUAACGCGUAGGUAACCUGCCUGGUAGCGGGGGAUAACUAUUGGAAACGAUAGCUAAUACCGCAUAAUAUUGACUAUUGCAUGAUAGUCAAUUAAAAGGUGCAAUUGCAUCACUACCAGAUGGACCUGCGUUGUAUUAGCUAGUUGGUGAGGUAACGGCUCACCAAGGCGACGAUACAUAGCCGACCUGAGAGGGUGAUCGGCCGCACUGGGACUGAGACACGGCCCAGACUCCUACGGGAGGCAGCAGUAGGGAAUCUUCGGCAAUGGACGGAAGUCUGACCGAGCAACGCCGCGUGAGUGAAGAAGGUUUUCGGAUCGUAAAGCUCUGUUGUAAGAGAAGAACGAGUGUGAGAGUGGAAAGUUCACACNGNGACGG
rnacentral:rRNA from 1 species